CGGGACACGUGGUAUCCUGUCUGAAUAUGGGGGGACCAUCCUCCAAGGCUAAAUACUCCUGACUGACCGAUAGUGAACCAGUACCGUGAGGGAAAGGCGAAAAGAACCCCGGCGAGGGGAGUGAAAAAGAACCUGAAACCGUGUACGUACAAGCAGUGGGAGCCUCUUAAUGGGGUGACUGCGUACCUUUUGUAUAAUGGGUCAGCGACUUAUAUUCUGUAGCAAGGUUAACCGAAUAGGGGAGCCGAAGGGAAACCGAGUCUUAACUGGGCGUUAAGUUGCAGGGUAUAGACCCGAAACCCGGUGAUCUAGCCAUGGGCAGGUUGAAGGUUGGGUAACACUAACUGGAGGACCGAACCGACUAAUGUUGAAAAAUUAGCGGAUGACUUGUGGCUGGGGGUGAAAGGCCAAUCAAACCGGGAGAUAGCUGGUUCUCCCCGAAAGCUAUUUAGGUAGCGCCUCGUGAAUUCAUCUCCGGGGGUAGAGCACUGUUUCGGCAAGGGGGUCAUCCCGACUUACCAACCCGAUGCAAACUGCGAAUACCGGAGAAUGUUAUCACGGGAGACACACGGCGGGUGCUAACGUCCGUCGUGAAGAGGGAAACAACCCAGACCGCCAGCUAAGGUCCCAAAGUCAUGGUUAAGUGGGAAACGAUGUGGGAAGGCCCAGACAGCCAGGAUGUUGGCUUAGAAGCAGCCAUCAUUUAAAGAAAGCGUAAUAGCUCACUGGUCGAGUCGGCCUGCGCGGAAGAUGUAACGGGGCUAAACCAUGCACCGAAGCUGCGGCAGCGACGUUUAUGCGUUGUUGGGUAGGGGAGCGUUCUGUAAGCCUGCGAAGGUGUACUGUGAGGUAUGCUGGAGGUAUCAGAAGUGCGAAUGCUGACAUAAGUAACGAUAAAGCGGGUGAAAAGCCCGCUCGCCGGAAGACCAAGGGUUCCUGUCCAACGUUAAUCGGGGCAGGGUGAGUCGACCCCUAAGGCGAGGCCGAAAGGCGUAGUCGAUGGGAAACAGGUUAAUAUUCCUGUACUUGGUGUUACUGCGAAGGGGGGACGGAGAAGGCUAUGUUGGCCGGGCGACGGUUGUCCCGGUUUAAGCGUGUAGGCUGGUUUUCCAGGCAAAUCCGGAAAAUCAAGGCUGAGGCGUGAUGACGAGGCACUACGGUGCUGAAGCAACAAAUGCCCUGCUUCCAGGAAAAGCCUCUAAGCAUCAGGUAACAUCAAAUCGUACCCCAAACCGACACAGGUGGUCAGGUAGAGAAUACCAAGGCGCUUGAGAGAACUCGGGUGAAGGAACUAGGCAAAAUGGUGCCGUAACUUCGGGAGAAGGCACGCUGAUAUGUAGGUGAAGUCCCUCGCGGAUGGAGCUGAAAUCAGUCGAAGAUACCAGCUGGCUGCAACUGUUUAUUAAAAACACAGCACUGUGCAAACACGAAAGUGGACGUAUACGGUGUGACGCCUGCCCGGUGCCGGAAGGUUAAUUGAUGGGGUUAGCGGUAACGCGAAGCUCUUGAUCGAAGCCCCGGUAAACGGCGGCCGUAACUAUAACGGUCCUAAGGUAGCGAAAUUCCUUGUCGGGUAAGUUCCGACCUGCACGAAUGGCGUAAUGAUGGCCAGGCUGUCUCCACCCGAGACUCAGUGAAAUUGAACUCGCUGUGAAGAUGCAGUGUACCCGCGGCAAGACGGAAAGACCCCGUGAACCUUUACUAUAGCUUGACACUGAACAUUGAGCCUUGAUGUGUAGGAUAGGUGGGAGGCUUUGAAGUGUGGACGCCAGUCUGCAUGGAGCCGGCCUUGAAAUACCACCCUUUAAUGUUU
rnacentral:rRNA from 1 species